AUACUGCUUGUGUGAAAGGAUAUGCUGGGAAGAUCAAGAUGAAAACUGACUUCUUUCGUAACUAAUGCAAAUCCACUAUCAGUCACCACCUGGAAUUCCCCCCAGGUGUCUUGGUCGACUAAAUGGUCAGAAGUCUUUACGAAAUGCUUCAAGCCACAGCUGAGCGGGCUUGAGAAAGCGUGGGUAGAACUUGCUUAUUGCCUUCUCCACGGGUGACUGCAAUCCCCCACAGCAAACGCCUUUCUAAGUGUGAUAAGGGUUUGGUUUGGAGCGAGGGGAGAUGGAUCGCCCUCCGUCCCCUCUGAGUGUUAUUUCUGGAAGUUAGCAGCAUUCCUCCCCUGGACACACCCUCUCUCCCUCCCCAGCAGUCCCCCACCCCACCCCCGCGCACACGGGCCCCUCGGCAAGUCGCGGCGCUCUCGGCGCGUUCGCAGUCGGCCGCCCCACCGACCCUGCUCGCGGCUGCCUGGCCGCCAGGAGGCUUCCCGGGAGCCCGAGAACGCCACGACGUCUUCAUCGCAGCCUGCGAGGGGCCGGGCUUUGGGCUGCUUGUUCAUUUUCUGCGCUGUAUUCUGCAAACGAGACUGAAUUCAGAGCCCUGAAGUUGCAAGCUGGGAGUAGCUGAGAACUGAAAGACCCCGGGGAAGAGUUUCUUUAGGGGCAGCGGGCGUUUCCUGCUCAGCCGCCCUUCGCAUGAGAUCCCUGUCUUCGUUAGCAUUCAGUUGGCUGUGGUUCCCCGGGAACAAGUGGCAGGCAGAAUACAAUAGGGAAGAAUGCAUUCUUGAUGACUCAUCUACCCUGGAAAGACUAAACAGAAAAAUUUACAUUCUCCGUUAGUUUGUAUGGAAAGCAUGCUGUCACUGUUUUAUAAAGAUUCCGUUUUGGUGAAUUCUUGAAAUUAGCUGAUCCAGAGGUAACCAACAUGACCUUUAAAGAGAUUUCCCUCAGUCUUCCUGCACUACAAGCGUAAAGACCUUGACACGAGCUCUACAAGGAUGAGAAGUCACCUCUCUUGACAGCAGAUAGGCUCUUGAUGGAGAGAGAUGAUGUGUGUGGCAAGGGCCAAGGGAGAGGACCACUUGAGAUGGGGCUGAAAUGUUUUCAACUUCUGAUGAAGAAAAUCAUCAGGAUACCAGAAUCUCCUUUAAGAUCCUGGUAGUUUAAAUUGAAUUCCUGUCCACAUGUUGAAAAAGACUUUCAAUAAAUGGCCCUUCUCACACUUACAACUG